AAUGCCUAAAGCCUUCCCCGGCAACGGCGCCAAAAUUUGACUCAUCCAAAAACACUUAGCGGAUGGACUCGAAUUUAUACGAGGUCGUCCUAGGGUGGUAAGGUGACUCAAGUCGUCUCACAAGGAAGACUUAGCAGGGCUCUAAUCGUGUUACUCACAAGGAACUGAAAGGAAAUCUAAACACUCUAAUCAGAAGAAUGGGUCUGACACUGUCUCACACUUUAGUACCGAGACGUAAACAGAAAGAAACAAUAAACAUUAACUAAUGCAGAAAACAUAUAAGGACUAGAACAUGGCAUUUGAACAUUAACGAAAUCAACUAGAGUUUUCAACUCCAACACUAAACCAAACGAUCAUAAACUUGUAAAACAUCAAAGAUUAAUUACUACCUAGACAAGAAACUAAAUCAAGCAUAAGAUUCGAAUGCAAAGAAAAUCUUAAUCUCCAUAAAAAGAAAUCUCUAAAC
rnacentral:lncRNA from 1 species